UACGUAGAGUGCAAGCGUUAUUCGGAAUUACUGGGCGUAAAGCGUGCGCAGGCGGUUAUGCAAGACAGAUGUGAAAUCCCCGGGCUCAACCUGGGAACUGCAUUUGUGACUGCAUGGCUAGAGUACGGUAGAGGGGGAUGGAAUUCCGCGUGUAGCAGUGAAAUGCGUAGAUAUGCGGAAGAACACCGAUGGCGAAGGCAGCCCCCUGGGUCAAAACCGACGCUCAGGCACGAAAGCGUGGGGAGCAAACAGG
rnacentral:rRNA from 1 species